rnacentral:rRNA from 1 species
UACGGAGGGUGCAAGCGUUACUCGGAAUUACUGGGCGUAAAGCGUGCGUAGGUGGUGAGUUAAGUCUGUCGUGAAAGCCCCGGGCUCAACCUGGGAAUGGCGAUGGAUACUGGCUCGCUAGAGUGCGGUAGAGGAGAGUGGAAUUCCCGGUGUAGCAGUGAAAUGCGUAGAGAUCGGGAGGAACAUCAGUUGCGAAGGCGGCUCUCUGGACCAGAACUGACACUGAGGCACGAAAGCGUGGGGAGCAAACAGG